AUGUGCACCUGGAUAGUUUUCUCAAAGAGCUUCCCCAGGACCAAGCUUCUUUGCACGGUGGAGUUUUUUGCUGCAGAAGAGAACCCUGGUGCAAUGGAGAAUUUCCCACCAAUUUGAAGCUUUCUUUGCAUGGUGCAUUUCUUUUGCAUCUAAGAAAUGCAUGGUGCAAGGAGUUCCCGCCAUUUGUAUGAAGAUCCGUGCCACAUUAUUGGCCGAUUCUAAUAUAUGUACACGUGAUGGCUAGCGAUUGGCUUGCUAGCUGUAUAAAGAGCUUGGGUGGUUUCCGCCCAAGGUGGAGAGAAAUCAGUUGGAGAGAGAGCGAGAGGGAGAGCAUGAAGAUCUCUAAGCGCUGCGGAGCCUCACGGACCCAACGCAUUUCUUAAAAGGCAAUAGAGGCCUGACCGAACCCAUGGAGCUUCAACAACUCCGUGGGAAAGAAACUACCGAACCCACGGAGCUUCAACAACUCCGUGGGAAAGAACGAAUAACAGCCUCUAGCCUCUCCCCAUCGCCGAUAAAUUCCUAGACGUAUCCCUUCCUGUACGAGAAACUACCGAACCCACGGAGCUUCAACAACUCCGUGGGAAAGAACGAACUUGUCGUAUGGACCCACGGAGCUUUAACAACUCUGGGGGAAAGAACGAACUUGUAGUACAGGCCCACGGAGCUUUAACAACUUCGGGGAAAAGAACGAACUUGUCGUAGUCCUCUAACGAGGAUUUAAGCGGAGCUGAACCUGGAAACUGUCCAGCCUACACCACGACCAUCUUUAGUUUUAAAGCCUGUCGGAGGAAAUCAGCCAACCUGGAAGAGAACACACGCUUACGUUUGUGGGAGAGGUGAAGCCCAUCCCACCUGAGUAUGUCUCUCAUUCUGAAGUGAGGGUCGUGGUCCAGAAAGCCGAAGCCCGCCACAAGACACCAUUCCUGAAGCCUCAAGUUGACGUCCCAGAUGCAUGGCAUCUUCCACGCCCGCUCACUGGAAGGAUCGAUGAGAAGACAACCUGUGCCCCUAUCUCCUUCAGCUUUUCCCCCAGCACUUGGUAGUCCUCCAUCAGGUGAUCUGGACUGCUCCUGGCUGCAUCAUUAUUGCCAACAUGUAUUAGGACCAUGGGGUGGUAAUCAGUGGGCCGAAUGAGGGCCGGGAUCAUCUCCGUCACGUUCUGAAUCCGCGCUCCGGGGAGACAGUAGACCUCACUUGUCAUAGGAUCCUGGCAACAGAUGGGACCCUCUGUUCCUCUCAGGAUGGAGUCAGCUAUGACAAGUACCUGGCGUCUCUUCCUCCAGGUCAACUUGCCUCCUCCAGCCCAUUCUGUCAUGGAGUGACCUCCUCACCAGAGGUUUCCUCCUCACGCUCCUUUUCCUCCAAUGUCACCAGGGUCUCAUACCUGUUCCCCAGCUGGACUGAGGGAGCUGGUACUGCACCACCGUGAGCAAUCCUGGCUCUGGAGGGAACCGUCUGCCAUUCCACUGUGGAGGGCAUCUCCUGGGGCUCUUCUUCCUUUGGUGCUUGGCCCUGCAAGGAAAGGAAAUACCCGUCAACUUCAUCCUCUGCUUCUCUGAUCCCCCUCAGCCUGCUAACCUCCUCCUGGAGCUCCCUCACCUGCCCCUCCAGGGCCCUAAGACAGACACCUGUGGGACAGGUGUGGCGGCCCCCAUUCCCUGCCCUUUCCCCCGGCCCCUCCAGACAUCCCCCUGCUUAGACUGAGCAGAAUUUUCUCAGAAGCUCUGGUCCAUUGCAGGCUGUGCUGGACCUAGGCACCCAGGUUGAGAGCAAGGAGACUCUCUCUUGUGCUUUCUGAGAUGCCCCAAUAGGCCCUAGCAAUAUGUAGGAAGAGGCUGCAUGAUUCAAAUAUAGUGAUGGCAGAAGAAAUAAAAAGACCUGAAGUAAAGUUGUGAAGAAUAGCCUGCAACCAUUCUUGCCCACCAAGGCAAAAAAAGGGACUAGAACUAAGGUGAAUCUAAGAUUGAACAAGGAGCUGGGAGAAAAACGGUACUGAUUGGACAAGAAUACUGGGAACUAGUGGGAUAAAUAGGAGAGAAGACAUAUGACAAGGGGUGAGGGAAUAAGUGAGAUAAGGUAUUGUCUGAGCAAAGAGAUUGGGCCAUCAUGCUUGGAAAAAGGCACACAGAUUGUCAAAGAAGGCCACAGAGGAAAAGUAGUACUGGGAGGUAGUUAAAAUGGAGAAAAAGUGAGAGCAGAUAACUGGAGACCAGGGUUGAGGAAGGAGAGAGAUUAGACAAGAAGCCAGAUCAUGAUCUGGGAAUGACUGGGCAAGGACUGUAAGAUUAAGAGUGGGAGGGAGGCUAUUCCAUUGGUGUGAACAAAAUCCACUGGCAUACUGCCCCACCCCCUGCCAAAGGCUAGUUCACAUGGUUUUUCAGGUUGAUUUUCUUUUAAAAAUGAAGCACUGUUCCUCUCUGCUGCAGGAGCCCUUGAUCCAUAUCCUGGCCUUGCGACAGGGAGUACCAAGCCUUGCCCCCAGAAGCCUCAUCACUUCUCUGAUCCAGUUACACACCAUCAAGUUCAUCCACCUACUUGACCCCUCCCCCCCCCCAUCACUGCCUAUUUCAUUGGCUGUGAACAGCGAUGAGAGUGGCAAGCCUGCUACCUUGCUGCCCCUCCCUAUGCACAACAAAAAUAGUGGUGGGAUCUGCUGAGAUCCUGUUUGGGAAGGCACUGUAAAUGUGGAUAGUUAAAGUGUGUCAUGCCGAAGUCCUCACCAGUCAUCCUGACAACUUGAGGCAGCACCUAGUGGCAGCAACACCAGAACAAGUCUACCCUGUACAAGCUACCCAUCACUAAGAGAACUGGUGACCUCCAGUAGCAACUUCUGCAUGUGGCCUUGGCCAUGGACAUGUUUAUCCACCACCUAGACCUGGUGGCAUCAGCAGCCUGCCCUUUCUGUGAAGAGAAGGUGGAAGUGGAGGAGAUACUCUUCCAUGACUUCCAGGACUGUCCCUGGCUGCAGCCACUCUGCUGUUCUUGGUACCCUCUUUCACAUGCUGGACUUGAACUUCUCUAAAACUACAUACAUUUUUUUUCUGUCCUGUACCAAGCAGCCAAAGGGAGUAUGAUCUGCCUGGCCAAUUUUGUGCUGUGCCAGGCCAAAAGGAGACUCUAAAAAGCCACCAAAAUCAGCUCUGACAAGACCCUCCAACUCUUCUGCUGCUGGGUCCAGACACAUGUUACAUUUGAAUUUGAAUGCUUCACUAUGCAGUAAAAUAUGGACCAAUUUGUGAUACCCUGGGCUAUCAAGGGAGGGAUCGCUCUGCAAAGUGGAAAUGGACAGCUGGUUCUAAAUGUAACCGCAAAAAAGUCAUUGCAGGUUAGGGGUUUCAAUUUCUGGUGGCAUGAGUGUUUUGGAAACUGUUUUUUGAAACUGUGAAGUCAAGCAGUCAAAAGGUAGCACAUACCGGAAUUAAUCUGACCCCCUCAUGUCCAGGCACUAUAAUAUAGUCCUUAAUUACAUGAUCACACUGUUUUUCUAUAUGACUGCUGCAUCAUUCACUGCACAGAAGGGACCUGCUCUGGUGAUGUAUUGGUGUUUUGUAGUGAAGGAAGCUGUUGUCAGUAGGACUUCUGGUUCAUUUGUUGCGUAAGUUCAGUGUGUAGCAAAUGAAACAAGGAGUUGAGGAAAGGAAAGGAGAGUCUUGUGAAAGAAUGAAUGCUGCCCUUGAGAACUGGAUGCUAUCCCUGCCUCUGGCACAAAGUUUCUGCGAAUAAUACCACAGUUCCUGCAAGCCCCCUGAUCCAAACCUGUCAGAAGUCAUCACUAAUUGUAUAGUCCUCACUUUUUGGUACCCAACUCGAGACCCUGGGAUUCAAUUUGUAGAAGUUCUGAGCACUGACAGAUGCAACUUAAGUAAACCAGAUUUGUGAAUGGAGCACAUGCAGUGCUAUAUAAGACAAAUCAUUCUAAAGUAUCAGAUCUUAAAUAUUUCAAAUUAGCCACCCAAAAUUAGUAGAUACAUUUUACUUUAAUCUCGCAUUGCCUGCAUAAUAAUUGGGAUAAUACCCCCCACACAUUUUACAGGAGUGUUGUGAAGAUAAAUUUAUUUUUGUGAAACACAGAAACAGUUGUACAUUAUAGUGAAGAGCACCACCGAGAAACCUGCAUAAUAAUUCUGUCCUCCAAACAAGUCUUGAAGAGUAUGCAGUAAAUUAAAGCACAGAGCUGCACACUGUGCAACAAGGUGAAAACAAAGUAUUAAAUAGCUGCUCUUUGACUAAGGUGGGCACAACCUGUGCAAUGAAUAGAGCAGGUUCCUAUAGAAAAAAGACAUUGUGUGAUCAUAUGAUUAAAGACUAUCAUAAUGCAGGUGCAUAGUGGGGAACAGAUAGAGGCAAAUUAACAAGAAACAUUAAGUCUCUCAUCUCUUAACUUUUGAGUGUUUACCUCACCACAUUAAUGACAUGCAUUCAACUUAAGUAUAUUUUAGUAAUAUUUAGCAUUAUUGAAACAAGACUGUACAGAGCGACAUGGGCAUGAUGGUCGAUACAAAAAAAUUGUUAUCUGUAAUUUAUCUAUGAAUAAAAUUCAGAAGCUUCAAUGAA